CUGGCCUCAAGUGAUCCUCCCCGCUCAGCCUCCCAAAGUGCUGGGACUACAAGUGUGGGCCACCUCGACUGGCUUAAUAUCAAAGCUUUAAAUAAUGACAGAUAAAUAACAGCGCUGGGCCUAGCCGUAUUGCAGCCCUAGGCAAAAGGACAAAUCAGUACUACUGAUCCUGACUUCAUUUACAGUUUUGAUAUUUUGUUCUUGGAUAUGCUUGCAUUGAUUUUGAAUUUUCAAAAUACGAUUUAUUUUGAAGAACGAUUUUUUGGGCUCUCCCUUGAAUUUCCCACCCCAUGUCAUCCCCUCUCCUGGCUGUGGCGGUGGGGGUGGUGCAUCUGGCAGUGACCGGCUGACCCGGGAGCCAGGGGUGUGGGCAGUUCCGGGGGCCACCCACGCGCGGGGGUGUAGACGCUGCGCCGUCCUGCUUCCCCCUAGCCCUGUCCUCUGGGGACAAUCCUUUGCAGGAGGUCGUUCAUCAGUGUUCCUCAGCCUGCGCCAGGCCAGCCUCCCGCCUUUAAGGCGUGCAUUGUUUUUCAGCCUGGCCCCUGUGAGACCCCAGUGCGUGGCCGGGGAGGGCGCUUCACCCACGCGGCGCGGGAGCAGCGCGGAGCCCGCAGCUGAGGUCCCGCCCGGCGCCCGGUUCCUGCAACUCCAGGCGUGGCCAGCAGGGGGCGGCGUGGGCACGCUCGAGGCCCCGCCUGGGACCCGGGGCAUUUCCUUCCCUCUUCCGCGGCUCUGCCUUCGUGCAAACGACCCUGACCCGGGGACAGCCCGGGUACUGCUCUUUAACCCCCUGCUGCUCAGAUUCUUCACGCAGCCUAAAGAGGCGGCCAAGCCUGUAAGUCUCACUUUGCAGAUGUAGAAGCAGAGGCUCAGCAGGGCAGAUCUCCUCCCGAAGUCCCGGGACCAUCAGGUAAAAGGUCGAGUCAUACUCAAGUCUCCCUGCUCCACAUCUGAACGCAUGGCCUCUGUCACCUUGUCUUGUGAACAAGGCUGGUGUGGACCCAGGAUGCAGGGUCUCCACUGAACUCCGGGGGGUUGCCGAGGUGGGAGCGUGACCAGGAGCCAGGGCGGAGUGCAUGACCCUGCCCCUGGGGCCCCUGUCCUGUUUGUGGCAAUGAAGAGUGAGGGAGAAAUACGGAGAGAAGAGGAAGCAUUUUGUGAAUGGCUGCAGCAAUAUGAGUCUCCACUCCUAGGUCCACCUUCCAGUCUCCAGGGGGAGUCCCUGGAGAGCCUAGAACCUGAAUUGUCUGUGUCCCCACCUCCAAGCACAGAUCCAGCACUGAACAGCACCUGCACUGGUUCUGCCCAGUUCCCUGUACUCACCAUUCCAGUCUGGACCCACAUCCCAGGAAGCUAAGUUCCCCCAAGAGCAGCCCCCAGCCAGUGAUGGUGGGAACGGAGGAUAAAUACCCCAGCUCCCUUGCCCCACAGGUGAGAUAACCCUGAGGGUGUCCAGCACCUCUCCUCUGGGGCCCAUGUGGCAGCUGGCCUUGAUGACACCUUGAUUAGCCUCCUCAGUCUCACCUGCCUACUCCUUGGACUUCCUGGGACCACCUCCCCUAUAAACUACCUGCCCUCAAAUCCUCACUUCAGACCAUGCCUCUGUUAAGCAGAGACCCUUGAUACCACUGUGAUGGUGGUGAUGUUAACAUUCAUUGGUGCUGUUUCUUGAGCACUUACUGUAGGCAGACGUUGUGGAAAGGGCUUUGUGGGGUGAACUUCAUCAAAUCCUUGCAACAGCCCCA
rnacentral:lncRNA from 1 species